GUAGGGAAUAUUGGUCAAUGGACGAAAGUCUGAACCAGCCAUUCCGCGUGCAGGAAGAAGAUUCUAUGGAUUGAAAACUGCUUUUAGCAGAGAAGAAACGCCUUGAUUGAUGAGGGUUUGACGGUAUCUGCGGAAUAAGCACCGGCUAACUCCGUGCCAGCAGCCGCGGUAAUACGGGGGGUGCAAGCGUUAUCCGGAAUCACUGGGUUUAAAGGGUGCGUAGGCGGGAAAUUAAGUCAGUGGUGAAAGUCUGUUGCUUAACGAUAGAAUUGCCGUUGAUACUGAUUUUCUUGAAUUGGGUUGAGGUUAGCGGAAUGUGACAUGUAGCGGUGAAAUGCAUAGAUAUGUCAUGGAACACCAAUUGCGAAGGCAGCUAGCUGGGCCUUGAUUGACGCUGAGGCACGAAAGCGUGGGUAGCGAACAGGAUUAGAAACCCCUGUAGUCC
rnacentral:rRNA from 1 species